UACGGAGGGUGCAAGCGUUAUUCGGAAUCACUGGGCGUAAAGCGCGCGUAGGCGGCGUCGUAAGUCGGGUGUGAAAGCCCCGGGCUCAACCCCGGAAGUGCAUUCGAAACUGCAUUGCUUGAGUACGGGAGAGGAGAGCGGAAUUCCCGGUGUAGCGGUGAAAUGCGUAGAUAUCAGGAGGAACACCAGUGGCGAUGGCGGCUCCCUGGUCCAGUACUGACGCUCAGGUGCGAAGGCGUGGGGAGCAAACAGG
rnacentral:rRNA from 1 species